rnacentral:rRNA from 1 species
AGAGUUUGAUCCUGGCUCAGAUUGAACGCUGGCGGCAUGCCUUACACAUGCAAGUCGAACGGCAGCACGGAGCUUGCUCUGGUGGCGAGUGGCGAACGGGUGAGUAAUAUAUCGGAACGUACCCUAGAGUGGGGGAUAACGUAGCGAAAGUUACGCUAAUACCGCAUACGAUCUACGGAUGAAAGUGGGGGAUCGCAAGACCUCAUGCUCAUGGAGCGGCCGAUAUCUGAUUAGCUAGUUGGUAGGGUAAAAGCCUACCAAGGCAUCGAUCAGUAGCUGGUCUGAGAGGACGACCAGCCACACUGGAACUGAGACACGGUCCAGACUCCUACGGGAGGCAGCAGUGGGGAAUUUUGGACAAUGGGCGAAAGCCUGAUCCAGCAAUGCCGCGUGAGUGAAGAAGGCCUUCGGGUUGUAAAGCUCUUUUGUCAGGGAAGAAACGGUUGUCUCUAAUACAGAUGGCUAAUGACGGUACCUGAAGAAUAAGCACCGGCUAACUACGUGCCAGCAGCCGCGGUAAUACGUAGGGUGCAAGCGUUAAUCGGAAUUACUGGGCGUAAAGCGUGCGCAGGCGGUUAUGUAAGACAGAUGUGAAAUGCCCGGGCUUAACCUGGGAACUGCAUUUGUGACUGCAUGGCUAGAGUUUGGCAGAGGGGGGUAGAAUUCCACGUGUAGCAGUGAAAUGCGUAGAUAUGUGGAGGAACACCGAUGGCGAAGGCAGCCCCCUGGGUCAAGACUGACGCUCAUGCACGAAGGCGUGGGGAGCAAACAGGAUUAGAUACCCUGGUAGUCCACGCCCUAAACGAUGUCUACUAGUUGUCGGGUCUUAAUUGACUUGGUAACGCAGCUAACGCGUGAAGUAGACCGCCUGGGGAGUACGGUCGCAAGAUUAAAACUCAAAGGAAUUGACGGGGACCCGCACAAGCGGUGGAUGAUGUGGAUUAAUUCGAUGCAACGCGAAAAACCUUACCUACCCUUGACAUGGCUGGAAUCCCUGAGAGAUUGGGGAGUGCUCGAAAGAGAACCAGUACACAGGUGCUGCAUGGCUGUCGUCAGCUCGUG